GAUUUCCUCUUUUUUUCAAUUUUCUCUGUUUUUGAAUUAAAUUGCUGAUUUCUUUUUUAUUUUAAAUUUAUUUAUAGGCAAGACGAUACAUUUACAAUGAUGUUCUUAAAUUGUCUGAUGAAAAACUCAUGGAUUGCUCUGGUAUUCAAGUGGAGCAUAUAAUAUCUACACAAGGGAGCUUAUUGAAGGUGGAGCAUAUAAUAUCAAACCACAAAUGUUGGGAUAAAACUUGUUUUAUUAAAUUAUGAUUUGUUUUUGCUCUUUUAUUAGUCUUAGUCUUAAGAUGUAAAAUUGCGACAUUAUGAGCAAGUUGAUAUAUUUUGAAGUGAUAAUGAAUAUAUUUUUGCUUAUUGUA